UGCACCGAUGAUGAGAAUGUGUCAUGAGCCAAGAAUAAUGAUGAAUCACAUUCUCUGGAUCUGAGCUCCAAA
rnacentral:snoRNA from 1 species